rnacentral:snRNA from 1 species
GGAUGCGCCAGGUGAUUUGGUAGUGACACCUCGCCAUCCAUUGAUCGCCAGGGCACGUUUGGGUGAUCUGGCUGCAUAGAUCGGUGUCCCCUCGUGCGCGCUUACCCGUGUUCAUUCCUCCCAAUGCUCUGCGCUAUGCGGCAGCGGACUCUGACCCCCAAGGACCGGCAACAGCUUCUUCGUCAAGGUCGCGGGUUUAGGUGGAGCGAUGGCUCCCUGCUAGACCAAAAAUGUAGGUGGCUGGUGGCUCAAAGGUCACAGCUGGCACCGCUGAGACCCUGGGUUUGAAUC